CACGCGAUUUGGGUUUUAUACACAGGAGGAAUAGGAUAAGCAAGAUUUAAUUUUGGGCUUUCAUCUUUUACUAUUGUACUCUCGCACACGAUUCCGUGAAGAAAGAGGCAAAGGUAGAUGUCGAAUUGACUAUUGAGGAGAGGAAUUUGCUCGGUACCAGAAUACGAUUGGAGCUCGGAGCGCUUCGAGGCGUAUUUUUUCUUCGAUAGAGCAAAAGGAGGAUGCGGGAGGUAAUGAAUUGAUAAAAGGUUGAAUCGGAGUUAUCCAGCCUACUGAUGAAUCGACGGUGUUCUUCUACAAGAUGAAGGGGAUUAUUAUUAUUGGUAUUGGCUAAAUUUAAGUCUGGUGAGGUGAGGAGAGGAAAGAGGCAGCUGAUCAUUCACUCAAAGCAUAUCAAGUGUGGGGCUUUUCUGCUACUUUUUUGGUGUUAGUUGAAAUUUUUGGUCAUUAUUAUGUCUAUUACCGGGGCACUGAAUGCAGUUUUGUCCAAAGAACAUAAAUAACAGAAAGGGUGGGUGGGGUUUACAGAACAAGGGUACAAGCACCAUGUUUGGUACUGUCUUGAAGUAUGUUACUCUAAGGUUGGUUGGUGAAGAACCAACCUCAGAGUAAACACCUCUAUAUAUAUAUAUAGAAGAACAAGUAAAAGAACAACCAUGACUGUAAGGACGAUCCAAAUAAUUUUCAAGCCAUUGCUGUACUACAAAGGAGUAUUUUGUUCUUCAUCUUUUCUCAAUUGUUGGUGGUUUUAGACAAUCAAUCAGUGGCCUUUGGCUGGGUUUCAACUCUUGUAGAGAUCAUGGAAAGGAGGUCGUUGAAGACAUCCCUCUGCAAGCUUAGAUGGAUUUGAACUAUCACUUAUGGCUUUUCUUUUGUAUCACUGUAUAUGUUGUAUUUAUGUGAAGUUUUUUAUAUUUUGAUCAUGUAAUAGCAGUAGUACUCGUCUUAAAGGCAUGUAAUCUAAUGACUCUAGGUUGGGAUGAAUGUAUUAAAGGGAUGAAUUAUGUUUAUCUUGAACCAUUUGUCGUCA